UCCGGUUGAUCCUGCCGGCGGCCACCGCUAUAGGAAUUCGAUUAAGACAUGCGAGUCGAGAGUCUUCGGGACUCGGCGGACUGCUCAGUAACACGUGGAUAACAUGCCCUUAGGAGGGGGAUAAUCUCGAGAAAUUGAGGAUAAUACCCCAUAGGCCAUGAAUGCUGGAAUGCUUUAUGGCCCAAAGCUCCGGCGCCUAAGGAUUGGUCUGCGGCCUAUCAGGUUGUAGUGGGUGUAACGGACCCACUAGCCUAUGACGGGUAUGGGCCUUGAGAGAGGGAGCCCAGAGAUGGACUCUGAGACACGAGUCCAGGCCCUACGGGGCGCAGCAGUCGCGAAACCUUCACACUGGGGGAAACCCUGAUGAGGGAAUUCCUAGUGCCUGCAUUUUUUGUAGGCUUUUAUCUAGUGUAGAUAGCUAGAAGAAUAAGGGCCGGGUAAGACCGGUGCCAGCCGCCGCGGUAAUACCCGCGGCCCAAGUGGUGGUCGAUAUUAUUGAGUCUAAAACGUCCGUAGCCGGUUCAGUAAAUCUUUGGGUAAAUCGGCCAGCUUAACUGACCGAAUUCCGAAGAGACUGCUGAACUUGGGACCGGGAGAAGCCAGAAGUACUUCUGGGGUAUGGGGUAAAAUCCUGUAAUCCUAGAAGGACCAACGGUGGCGAAAGCCUCUGGCUAGAACGGAUCCGACCGUGAAGGACGAAGCCCUGGGGCGCAAACGGGAUUAGAUACCCCGGUAGUCCAGGGUGUAAACGCUGCAGGCUUGGUGUUGGGGGUCCUUCGGGGGCGCCCAGUGCCGGAGAGAAGUUGUUAAGCCUGCUACUUGGGGAGUACGUCCGCAAGGAUGAAACUUAAAGGAAUUGGCGGGGGAGCACCGCAACGGGAGGAGCGUGCGGUUUAAUUGGAUUCAACGCCGGAAAUCUCACCGGGGGCGACAGCGAUAUGAAGGUCAGGCUGAAGACUUUACCGGAUUAGCUGAGAGGUGGUGCAUGGCCGUCGUCAGUUCGUACUGUGAAGCAUCCUGUUAAGUCAGGCAACGAGCGAGACCCACAUCCACAGUUGCCAGCAUAUUCUCCGGAAUGAUGGGUACACUGUGGAGACCGCCGCUGCUAAAGCGGAGGAAGGAGUGGGCAACGGUAGGUCAGUAUGCCCCGAAUCUCCCGGGCUACACGCGGGCUACAAUGGUUGGUACAAUGGGCAUCUACCCCGAAAGGGGAAGGAAAUCUCUUAAAACCAAUCGUAGUUCGGAUUGAGGGCUGCAACUCGCCCUCAUGAAGCUGGAAUCCGUAGUAAUCGCGUUUCAACAGAACGCGGUGAAUACGUCCCUGCUCCUUGCACACACCGCCCGUCAAACCACCCGAGUAGGGUCUGGAUGAGGGUGUGUUUUAUUGACACAUUCGAAUCUGGGCUUUGCAAGGGGGGUUAAGUCGUAACAAGGUAACCG
rnacentral:rRNA from 1 species